rnacentral:tRNA from 6 species
GCCCCGGUAGCUCAGUGGAUAGAGCGUCUGCCUCCGGAGCAGAAGGCCGCAGGUUCGAAUCCUGUCCGGGGCACCA